UAUCUUUUCUUUUGCUGUACCAGAAGCUUCUUGCUUCAUCUCUUUUUGCUCUUUCUCUUCUUUUUCCUUUGCUCUUACACAACUGCAUCUCUCUCUCACUCUCUCACCAAAAAUUAUAGACAUCUCUCUCUAAAGAAGAAACUGAAAGAGUAACACUAAAGUUUCAGCUUCAAAGUUUGUGGGUGGCGAGAACGAGAACAUGGACACUUGAGCUCUUCUUAUACAAUCUCAAUCUCUUGCGUCUUCUGUUUUCAGUGCACAGGUUCUUUUUGGAAGCAAUGAGAGUAUUAGAGGUGGCAAGGAUUCUAUGAUUCUUGUUUUUUAGAUUGUAUAGGUUUGUUGUUGUUGUUGAUGAUGUUAUUGUUGUAUAGUAGUUUAGCUCUUUUGUUGUAUAGGAGGAAUCAAGAUGUAUUUGAUCAUUUGAGCACAAAUGUAAUUUGGAACCUUAAUUUGUUUUGAACCCUAGUUGUAUGUCUUUCGGGUUAGGUUUGUUAUAAGAGUUUUGCUAAACGUUUAACUAUGUAAUAUUUACACGGAUACCUGAUGUUUCAGCUAAGUGGUAAUCUUUCCAAGUUCAAAGGAAAUGAAGUUUCAAAGUUUUCAUCA